GAUGAACGCUGGCGGCGUGCCUAAUACAUGCAAGUCGAGCGAACGGACGAGAAGCUUGCUUCUCUGAUGUUAGCGGCGGACGGGUGAGUAACACGUGGAUAACCUACCUAUAAGACUGGGAUAACUUCGGGAAACCGGAGCUAAUACCGGAUGAUAUUUUGAACCGCAUGGUUCAAAAGUGAAAGACGGUCUUGCUGUCACUUAUAGAUGGAUCCGCGCUGCAUUAGCUAGUUGGUAAGGUAACGGCUUACCAAGGCAACGAUGCAUAGCCGACCUGAGGGGGUGAGCGGCCACACUGGAACUGAGACACGGUCCAGACUCCUACGGGAGGCAGCAGUAGGGAAUCUUCCGCAAUGGGCGAAAGCCUGACGGAGCAACGCCGCGUGAGUGAUGAAGGUCUUCGGAUCGUAAAACUCUGUUAUUAGGGAAGAACAUAUGUGUAAGUAACUGUGCACAUCUUGACGGUACCUAAUCAGAAAGCCACGGCUAACUACGUG
rnacentral:rRNA from 1 species